GUGGCACGAUUAUGCAAGGAAGACAUAGAUCAAUUUCAGUUGGCCUUUAGUCCAAACGUGGAAGCUCAGCAUUAGCCCCUGCGAGUUUUUCUCUUGUUUUCUUUAUCUUUAUUUUGUCUUUGUCUGUUUGAGUGGCUGGCUCUAGUGGUUGAGAGUUUCAAGUGGGAGUUGUAAUUGUCUGCAUUUUUUUCUUUUUUCCUCGUCUAAUAAAAAUACGGCAAAAGGUGUUUGCCGCCUUUCGAAGAAAAAAGUAAUCCUGAGAGGUCUUGAUG
rnacentral:lncRNA from 1 species